rnacentral:rRNA from 1 species
UACGUAGGGGGCAAGCGUUGUCCGGAUUUAUUGGGCGUAAAGAGCGUGUAGGCGGCCUGGAAGGUCAGCUGUGAAAACUCGAGGCUCAACCUCGAGACGUCGGUUGAAACCACCUGGCUAGAGUCCGGAAGAGGAGUGUGGAAUUCCCGGUGUAGCGGUGAAAUGCGCAGAUAUCAGGAGGAACACCGAUGGCGAAGGCAGGUCUCUGGGCAUUAACUGACGCUGAGGAGCGAAAGCAUGGGGAGCGAACAGG